rnacentral:rRNA from 1 species
GAUCCUGGCUCAGGAUGAACGCUAGCUACAGGCUUAACACAUGCAAGUCGAGGGGCGGCAUGGUCUUAGCUUGCUAAGGCUGAUGGCGACCGGCGCACGGGUGAGUAACACGUAUCCAACCUGCCGUCUACUCUUGGCCAGCCUUCUGAAAGGAAGAUUAAUCCAGGAUGGGAUCAUAAGUUCACAUGUCCGCAUGAUUAAAGGUAUUUUCCGGUAGACGAUGGGGAUGCG